rnacentral:lncRNA from 1 species
ACUAUGCCGUGGACACCCUCUGAUGGAGUGACUUUGACAUAGUCAAAGAUCAAGGACCUAACCACAAGACAACUAUGAUGCCUCAGGUUAAAAGACUACUUUGCAUUAUCCCAACCAUGAGUUCUCAUUUGACAUGAGUAUGAGAAGUCAUCGUUGAUCGUGUUCAGUGGACUCAUUCUCUAUUGAGCACCUACAUGCUUGUCUUGGUGUCAAUCACACCAAUGACUCGAGACCGGUCACUCUCCCUGAGAGAAGACACAGCACGUACUUAUCUUAACGGACUGUCAAUGCCCAAUUGGCUAUCCUAUGAUCAGGAACGUUCAAGAUAUGUAUACGAAAGAGAAUGGUCUCAUGAAUCUAACUUCUUUAAAUUACAUUCUCCUAAUUACAUAUUCCUUGGACUUAUCGUUUAAGCAUAUAACAUUUAUAUGAGACGGCUUAAAACAAUAAUCUUUGCCCUUGAUAUUAAACUAGAUUAGUUUAACAUGUGAAAAGUCCGUAAAGUAUCAUCAUAUGAUUGGUUUUAGGGCACAUUUCCAACAAUCUCCCACUUGCACUAGAGCCAAUCAGCUUGGUCAUCAAUGAUGAUACCACUUCUGUAGUCAUUUAAAAAAUGGCUGAGUAGUAGACCUAGACAAUGGAUAUCUACAUGUUAUCCAUAGAAGCAACCUUAAGAAUAACGACGUCACCAUUAUACAUGAUUCUUAAUCAUGUGGUUUAGUUUCUCAUUUGAGUUCGGAUCAUGAUGAGACCUUGAUUCCCUAGCUUGAGCUAUCGCCCCAUUAGUGUCAUAGUGUCGGUACACUAGAGACACUUUCUGGUUAGAACCGAAUAGAGAGUUCAUAAAUGAACUUUCUCAUCCAAACAACAUUGUUGUAAGCUUCUUUAUGGCAAUAUAUUUUGCAUGCAUAAUGGAACACACUAAAGUCAUUACUUUUAAUGUUACCAUCCAAAUAUCUCUUUAGUCAUAAUAAAGAGAUAUCUAAUUAUCUCUUCAUUCAUAAUGAAGAAACAUCCAAUGAUGGAUUAGAUUCAUAAUCUAAUACAUUUACACUUCCAAUACGUUACUCUAAUUCUUCCUCAUUCUUAAGGAAUCCAUCCUUUAUUAUUUCUCAAAUGCUUAAGGACUCACUUGACAGUUGCCAUGGUUCUGAUCCUAGGCUUGCAUUGAUAUCGUCUUGUAUCGAUCUUGGUACAACUCAUAUCAGCGUUUUUCAUGCAAUAUGAAAUACAUAAAUCACCUUUCUGCGUAUGCAUAAAGGAUUCUAUUUACGCAUUAUUUCUUUGGGAGUCAAAGGGUACGUUCCCUUUGAGAAGAGCUACCUCCUAGUCUCACUAGAGUUGUUCUUCUGAUUGAAGCUUAUCAUCAUAUGACAAACUUCCUAGCAUCUUUUGUCUAUCAUUAGGGCUUGAUAUAAUCCAAUUAUAUCCGAAAACCUAUCAUUAUAGAUUUCCAUCCCAUGUUUAUAGACUAUGUCUCCCAUAUACAUUCUAUCGUUAUAGAAUGUUUAAAGUCAUAACUUUAACGAAGAAGUAUUCUUUUCAUUUCCAAAAUUAAUAUAUCAUAUAUGUGUUAAAUUUUAGGAACAUGAUUAACUCCCACUAAUCUUUUGUAAACUUAGUAAACAAAAGAUUCAUUUACAUCUUUAUGAGAAAUCCAUUGAUUUGAUCUUUCUCUCAUUAGAUGCUUAUAGCUCCCACUAGCUUGCCAAGAUCCAUGAUGGAUGGAUCUCUAUAACUUACAUGUCUUGUGAUUCAUAGUUUUAGACAUAUAUUAUCAAGACUAUCUUAAUAAUGGUUUCGGAAACCCAUAUUAUGUCCAAACAUUGAAUCACCAUUUAGUUGUAGCUAGCAAUCUUCGAAUUAAUUGAAACCAAGACUAUGUCAAAGAUGGUUUCUUCCAAGUCAACCAUUCUCUUUGAUUGUAGUCACCUUAAGCUAACAAUUAGCUAUGAAGGUUUCAUUAUUUCAGGUCAAAUGGUACUUUACCAUUUCCUUGAGUAUAUGUCGUAUAUACACUCAAUGUAGUCAUAAGGAUUUUCAUUCUUAUUUCUUUCGAAUUAAAAGGUGUAACUCUAUGACAAAGUCAUAAAGUUCAAACCAUUCAACUGAGACAGUUUAUAAAUCCUUCUCGACUACCUUGGAGCUUGUGGUGUAGGAACUAGGUUGUUAUAUUUGUUGAUUAUCAUCUUGUCUCUCAAAGAACCCAUUCUUGAGUUCUAUCUCUCAUUCAUUUGCUCUAUCUUAGGCAAAUCCUAGUGUAGGAUUACAAUGAACUACCCAACAAACAACAUUUGUUAGUUGGUUUAUAGAAGUGAUAUCCAAAUGUUAAUUUAAGGAUACCCACAAGAUAAUUCUUUAAACAAAUAUUGCUUAUUAGCACACAACCCCAAAUCUUAACACGAUUAAGACUUGUCUUUCUUUCCAACUGCAUCCUAUGGAGUCAUGAAAAUUUUGGAAGAUCUUCUAAUUGACAAUCAUAUUGUCUUAGAAGUAUAUAUCCUAUAUAUAUGGGUAAUUGAUAACAUCCAACGAACUAAAUCUUAUUCGAGUUUGUUCUUCUCUUAAUGGAGAAAUCCAUUAUCAUAUGAUGCUUCUUUCCUUGAUAUCUUUCAAGGAAACUGUUCUAAAGUGUUAGCUUUCCUUGGAUCAAAUCUAAGGAGGUAAAUACUUUAGACAUUUUACUCAUCAACUUACAUUUCUUGAAUUCUUUGAAACCUUUUGCAAAGUAUUCGGACUUGUGUUUAUUCAAAAUAAAUGAUAGUCCAACCGAGAGCGAUCUUCGGUGAAUGUCAAACAACAUGAGUAGUAUUAUGUUGUGGACAAGUGCCACUAACAACAAAGUGAAUUUACCUCAACAACUUUGUGAUUCUUUCUUCCUUUCCAAAAGAAUAAAGAUUCAAACAUUUUGCCUCUACACAAUUUUAACAAGAAGGCAUUGGAUCCGGAUUUAACGAUCCAAAGCAUCCAUCUAUGACCAACUCGUAAUUUAUGUUUUAGAGGUAUCACAACUUAGUUGGGAUUAGUCACUACCUUGCAACCUUUUGGGUUUUAAGCAUCGUUAUAUUCUAAACAGUUAACACUACCAUAUCAUCUAUACUAUAGAGAUAAUCAAUUAGAUUACAAUAAUCUAAUCAUUCAUUAAUAAAGAACAAUGUUUUGUCAAACAAAACAUUCAUCCAUCUCUCAUAGUGACGGAAUUAAGUUCCUUAAAAUUGGAAUGUAAAGACAAUCUUUGGUUUUUCCAAUUUCUUUGGUAGUUCAUAUGAGGAAGUAAGUAUGAUCUACUUUCGCAGAGAUCUACAUUUAAUUCACGUUCCGAAUGUAAAACAUAGUUACUAAUACGGAAUCAAGCAUUCAAGUAGAAGAACCAACUGUUUUGAACUUUUCAAGAA